rnacentral:lncRNA from 1 species
UCAAUUCUAUGCAAAAGGAAAAUGAGAGGAAUCUUAUCGCCGAAGUUUACUGUCUGUCACCAUCUAGAGACUGCAAUUCGAUGACUUAUAAUAUGCCCACAUUUGAGACAAAGAUUGAGUAAUUGACGGGCAGAAGAAGAUUGUUAAUUAGGUCAAGUAUGGUGUUUUAUAAACUUCAAGAGAAACAGAAGCCAGUGUCAUCAAGUUAAGCACCUGGAAAGCUUUCGAGAAUGAAGAGGGAUGGACAUAGGCAACCAGAAUCCUUGGCUCAAUCCAUAAGGGAGUGUCUCAAAAUCACUUCAAAUCGACCCUGUGUCCGAUCUUUCACCAAUCCUGAAUUAACCCAGGCAGAAACAGCUCUACUGGCUUCCAGGCCUUUGCAGGCAGGGCUCUGGGCUUAGACAGGUGGAAACAGAAUGAAACCGUAAUUGUCUGAAGCCAGUCAGACUCCUAUUCUCCACCUGUUUGAGGACAGACAAGGUGUGAGAAGUCAAGACCCCGGAGCCCUAGGUGGCGCUCUCUUAUUGGCCAGUGCAGUGGAGGGGCCAGGAUCCCCCACACUCUGUGAAGAUGUCACCUGAGCAGUUUAUCAUAGGUUUGUGAUACCCACUCUACUGCUAAAGAAGCUAGCUGUCCGAGGUUUAUGCAGACAACCUGAGAUCUCUCCGCUUGGCGCCUCCUGCUACGGGUUUUGGAUAUUUACCCUCCGCAGAGAGAGGAAGAGCAGGGAGCUUUUUGAGCUCAGCGUGGCAUAAGCCGCAGGAGCUCCGGAGCCAGACCUUCGGAUCCGCGACGGCCCAGAUGUCCCGCCGCGCCUGCGCACGGCCGCCCGACGGUGCGGGCCGGGAUGGACGCGGACCCGGGGCGGGGCGGGGCGAGGCGGGCCGAGGAGGGCGGGGACCUGCUGAAAGCGAGCAGCAGUCGGAUCUCGUGCGCCAGGCGGUGCGGCGUCCACCGCGUCUCCCGGGACGACCUCGGGCGCUUCCCUCUCCCAGCGGUUAAUUGGAUUCGGGAGGGGGGAGUGUCAGUCUACCGCAGGGGCCAAUCGAAGGUCUGGAAAGCCCUAUAUGCAAAUAAGAGGGCCGGGCGGACCCCAAGUUAGGAGGGGCGCGGGUUGGGGUUAGAGGUUGUUUGGCAGCCAAUGGGAGGGUGUCUCCUUAAUCCUUCGAGGAGGGGACCCGCAAGUGUGGUUGCCAGCGGUACGGGCGGCAGAGCAGGGGCGAGAGGAAUCGCUGGUAAGAGCGCCCCAGAGCCCGGUGCCGGUCCCAGACUGCGGCCCCCUAGUGCCUCCCCAUUGAAAACCAGGUUCUACAUGCCCCCCGUGUCCCCCACGGUGACCAGUUCCCCAGGUUUACCCCCUCUGCCUUCCCUGGUGUUCUAGGACAAAAGCCACCCGCACUGCCCUUGUUCCCCCUCGGCUCUGUAGCCCAUCUUUUCUCAGCAGGUCUUGGUGUCUCUCACCUUCUUACCCGCCUCGUACUCAAUUUACUGCUGAAAUACCCUCGCUCCCUAUUCUCAUCCUCAAGACCCCAACGCCAGGACCUUUCUCACACACAGUCCCUUCUUUUCCCAACUCCUUACACCGUUCUGUCCUGGCUUUUCUCCCGAACCUGGGUCGCCCGUAGAGUGCACCCUCACUUCCUGGCCUUCCUCAGUUUCCCGUACCCGGUGUCUCCAGGGAGCUGUCCCUUAGGUAUCAGAGAUCCCUGGGAAUCACACGACUCUCUCCGCCUCCUCCUCCCCUAUCGUGGGAUCCUUCUCUUGAUCACCUUUCUUCCCGGUCUGGAGACGCCUUACAGAAAGACACUUCUGUUUUUCUUGGCAGCACAGCCCUCUGCAAAUAACCUACCCCCAGCCUCUUUUUCUUUCACUUCCAGGUGUUAUUUCUCACCUUCCUAAAGGAAAGCUCUUCUAGGCCUGAGGAAAGUUCUUUGGGGUUUGAACUCUAGGCAAAAUGUAACUUACACGUGGGGAUGAGGUGGGAAGGGAGCUGGUAUUUAUUAAGCACUGGUAUGUGCCAGGCCCUUAGAUAAGUUAUUUACUGUGUGCAUCAAUGCCACCGUCGUAUUUUCAUUUUACAGUCUUUUGAACCAAACACUGCUAUAGGAGCAUUGGAAAUAGUAACUCAUUUAAUCUUUCAAACUGCUCCAUGAGAUGAAUAUUAUUAUCUUCAAAGAUGCAAAGCUGAAAGCAAGAUCCAGAGGUCUUACCUCCACAUCUUUCUUGCCCCCCCCCCAUCCACUUUGACCUUUUCCAAGAGCUAAUCAGUGUGGGAAGCCUUCCCAGGAUGCAGGGGAAUGAGGGUCAAAAGAUGAAAAGGGAAAAGGAGUGCAGGAAAACCUAUUAUUUGGGGGGAAAGAAGGACGUCACAGGUAGGAGAACUCUUCAGGGCCCUAUGAAUUCCUACAGGCUGAAAAAUAAGUCUAGGCUGAGGAGGUCAGGGUGAAAAAACUUGGCUAAAACGUGAAACGCUUAACCAAAUGACUCUUUCCUCCUGCUUACAGCCUUGUAAAGGAAAGCACUAAUUAUUUCCCACCCUUCGGCAACACUUCUAGGGCCAAGAAGAGUGGUCAACAUGUAUAGUCCUUCAGAAGUGGAAAUGAGUCCCUUCAGAUAACCUGCAGUGUGUUCCUUUGCAUGGAGCCAUCCCAGUGCUCGUUCCCUCCCCCUGGUGGCCAAUAAAGGUCAUUUUCGUGCCGU